UGGGGAAUUUUGGACAAUGGGCGCAAGCCUGAUCCAGCCAUGCCGCGUGCGGGAAGAAGGCCUUCGGGUUGUAAACCGCUUUUGUCAGGGAAGAAAUCUUCUGAGUUAAUACCUCGGGAGGAUGACGGUACCUGAAGAAUAAGCACCGGCUAACUACGUGCCAGCAGCCGCGGUAAUACGUAGGGUGCAAGCGUUAAUCGGAAUUACUGGGCGUAAAGCGUGCGCAGGCGGUUUUGUAAGACAGAGGUGAAAUCCCCGGGCUCAACCUGGGAACUGCCUUUGUGACUGCAAGGCUUGAGUGCGGCAGAGGGGGAUGGAAUUCCGCGUGUAGCAGUGAAAUGCGUAGAUAUGCGGAGGAACCACCGAUGGCGAAGGCAAUCCCCUGGGCCUGCACUGACGCUCAUGCACGAAAGCGUGGGGAGCAAACAGGAUUAGAUACCCUGGUAGUCCACGCCCUAAACGAUGUCAACUGGUUGUUGGGAAGGUUCCUUCUCAGUAACGUAGCUAACGCGUGAAGUUGACCGCCUGGGGAGUACGGCCGCAAGGUUGAAACUUAAAUGAAUUGAC
rnacentral:rRNA from 1 species